AUCGCUUCUCGGCCUUUUGGCUAAGAUCAAGUGUAGUAUCUGUUCUUAUCAGUUUAAUCAACUAAAUAUGCUUCUAUCUUCAAAAUCCAAAAGCAACUUAACUUGACCACAA
rnacentral:snRNA from 1 species